rnacentral:rRNA from 1 species
AUGGUUGCACCAGGCGGCGGUGCAGGGGCGCGUGGCAAGCCUGAGGAGGCUGGUGGCCGAGCGCCCCGGCAUCCUUGGUUCCUCCAAGACGCCCCAGGAGAACACCGCGCGGCCGAGCUCGGCCAUGCCGGUUUUGUCGAGGCGGCCCUUGGUGUGGACGGCAAGCUGCUCGUCAGCAGGAACCACGCGUGGGCAUGGCCUAUGGAGGCGGCCAGGGCGGGGAAGGUGGACGUUGCGGACCUGCUCAUCGGCCACGCGUGGGCAUGGCCUAUGGACGCGCACGGGCCUCUGUUGAUGGCCAACAAGGCCGGCGACACCCCGCUGCACGAGGCGGUGAAGCACGGCAGGAGCGCGGUCGCGCUCAAGCUGGUGGACGCCGAGCCAGGCAGCGGCCACGCGCUCAACGUGAAGCAGCAGACGCCGCUACACAUCGCCGCGCGGGAGGGCCUCUACAAAGUCGUCAUCAAGAUCAACAGCCAGCCCUGGGUCCACGAGAGCUUUGUCCCCUCUGACUCCGUCAGCGGCUCCGCCCUGCACCAGGCCGUCCUCGGCGGCCACGCACGCGUGGUGGAGAUCUUGCUCGACAUGACGCCGCGGGAGCAGAUCGGGCUGACGGACUCGAGCGAGAACAACGCGCUGCACUACGCGGCGCAGAAGAACAACGCCCGCGUGGUGAAGCUGCUGCUCAACCGGAUGGUGGAGCUGGCCUACAAGCGCAACCGUGACCUGCAGUCCCCGCUGCACGUGGCCGCCUACUACGGGUCGACAAAGGCCAUGGCGGAGCUGCUGAAGCAGUGCCCUGACGUGGCGGAGAUGGUGGACAGCAACGGCAGGAACGCGUUGCAUGUCGCCAUCGUCAUCGGCAAAGUGGACGUGCUCCGCUGCCUCCUCAAGCACGUGCGCCCGGACGAGAUUAUCAACAAGGUUGACAACGAUGGCAACACAGCGCUUCAUCUGGCCGCGAAGUUAAAUCGAGCUCCGCUUGGCCUGCUGCUGCUCAAGGACCGCAGGGUGAACCCAUGCCUCCUCAACAGGGAAGGCCGCACCGCACGGAGCAUUACCGAGGAGCAAACACCUGUCGAUAGCUUCACGUUAUUCCAGGUCUACUUCUGGAAGGAGCUAAAGAAGCAAGAAUCCAUCAAAUGCAAGGCGCAACAGCUGCCCCCUGAAACAACGCCUGAUUGGUUGCAGGACCUCAACCAGUACGUGCAGCAAAGGAUGGGGACCUACACUCUCGUGGCAACUCUCAUCGCCACGGUGACAUUCUCUUCAACGUUCACCAUGCCCGGCGGGUACGACCAGCAGGAUGGCACGGCCAUCCUUGGCCACCGGAUGGCAUUCAAACUCUUCAUCUUCGCGAAUACCCUGGCAAUGCUAACGUCAAUCGUCGUUGUCUUUGGCUUCAUCUGGGCAAGAAGGGAGCAGCUGGAUUUCAGGACCGGCAGGGUCAUAGCUUGGAGCCACUGGCUCACCGUCAUCGCCUGCCUCUCCAUGGUCGCGUCCCUGACCACCUCUGUCUACCUCACCGUCGCGGCAAAGGCACCGUGGCUCGCGUAUAUAGUCAUUGUAAUGGGUUGCAGCACUCCUGUCGUCAUGUUUCUGAUGUUGGGCAAGGACUUGUUCGCCACACGAGUGUAG